AGUCCCGCCCGGCCUCCGGUCGGGGAAGGCGGCCUUGGGAGCAGCGCCAUCCAAUCUGGGAGCCGAAGAAUUCUGCCUCUCUGCCUGGCAGUGUGACUUCAGCCAAGUCACUGAACCUCCCUGGGCCUCCCUUUUCUCAUUGGCGAAAGGAAGAUAACAGUACCCGCUUCGCCGAGGCUGGGGUGUAGAUAAAUGAGCCAGGCAGCUCACAGAAGUAACCGGCGAAGUGCUUGCUGUGGCCCAGGACCGCGGGUUACCAUGACUACUACCUUAUUCCCUUACUCUGCCACUUGCCCCUUUCCCCCUCAACCAAGCUGGGAGGCUGCCCCUGUCUGUUCUGUAUUCCCCGAGGCGGGCACACAGGUGGUGUUCAGGGAAUGUGGGAUAAGCAGAGAUCGGGCUCACGGUUAGGUGCCCUGGGGGCUUGGGCAGGGUCUUCCCACCCCAGCUGAACCCAGGUGAGGCCAGGCAACGUUGUUCCUUCCCCCCGCUGACUUGGAGGGAGGGGGGCUUCAGGAAGGAGCACUGGGCCGGGCCUGAGUGGGCGCUACCAGCUCCCCUCCUUCCCUCUGUUCCACAGGAGGCCUCUCUGCGCUUCACUCUGCCGGGCUCCGGCACUGAGGGGCCCGCCAAGCAAGAGAACUUCAUUCUAGGCAGCUGUGGGUAAGCCUGGGCUGGGCGGAAACCGGGGAAAUGGGUACCUUGGGGGGUAGGAGGCAUGGUCAUAGCCCUGUCCUGCAGACCAGCUGGGUGUGCGAUGGGACAGGAGGGGCAGCCCGCCGGGAGGGAGGGCUGGGUGGUGGCGGGGUGACCACAGACACCGCUCUGACGCCAUAUGUUACAGCACAGACCAGGUGAAGGGUGUGCUGACUCUGCAGGGGGAUGCCCUCAGCCAGGCGGUGAGUCCCCCAGCCCUGUCCCCUCCCAUCCUGCCAGUGGAGAAGAGCAUGGGAGCUCCCACUUUCUCUCUGUACAAGUCCUGCGACUCUGGGCGGGACCCUUGAUCUCUCUGGCCUCAGUUUUCUCCUUUGGAAAAUGACAGCAACCCUCACACCUCCUCCCGGGAUCGGUGUGCAGAUUCAGUAAGAGGUACAGGAGAGGGAUUCUUUGCACACGGCCUGGCCUGGCGUCCGGACCAGUGAAACAUGGGCAUUGGUGGAUUAGGCUGGCCACACAUCACAGUUGAAUCAGCCACUGCCUGAGCUCCAGUCUGCACCCGACUCUGUGCCAGGCACCAAGGCGUUGGGGGAGGCCCCCCUCCUGGGCUCCAUCUGUUGGCCUUUGUAGACACUAGAUGCACCCCAUUUGCACAGAGCCUCACAGAGGCUGCCUUUCCUCUUCCCCUUCCCCUUUCUUCACCUCUUUCCAUUUCACUUCUUUGUGGCUCUUCUUGGGCCUGGUUUCCUGUUUCCUGUCCUCCCUGUUCACCCCCCAAACGGCCAAGGCAUUGGGAGACCCUCUGCCCUAUACAGCGGCCAAGGCCUGAGCCACCACACACCCCAUUUCUGCCCUGGGUUUAAGGGCUCAGAGUGGCUGUGGCAGGAGGCGGUCCCCCCUGCCCGGCUCACCCCACUCUUGCCUGUCAGGAUGUGAACCUGAAGAUGCCCCGGAACAACCAGCUGCUGCACUUCACCUUCCGGGAGGACAAGCAGUGGAAGCUGCAGCAGAUCCAGGAUGCCAGAAACCAUGUGAGCCAAGCCAUUUACCUGCUUAUCAGCCGGGACGAGAGCUACCAGUUCAAGACAGGCGCUGAGGUCCUCAAGCUGAUGGACGCAGUGAUGCUGCAGCUGACCAGAGCCCGAAACCGGCUCACCACCCCCGCCACCCUCACCCUCCCCGAGAUCGCCGCCAGCGGCCUCACGCGGAUGUUCGCCCCCGCCCUGCCUUCCGACCUGCUGGUCAACGUCUACAUCAACCUCAACAAGCUCUGCCUCACAGUGUACCAGCUGCAUGCCCUGCAGCCCAACUCCACCAAGAACUUCCGCCCAGCCGGGGGCGCGGUGCUGCAUAGCCCUGGAGCCAUGUUCGAGUGGGGCUCUCAGCGGCUGGAGGUGAGCCACGUGCACAAAGUGGAGUGCGUGAUCCCCUGGCUCAACGACGCCCUGGUCUACUUCACCGUCUCCCUGCAGCUCUGCCAGCAGCUCAAGGACAAGAUCUCCGUGUUCUCCAGCUACUGGAGCUACAGACCCUUCUGAUCACAGCACCCAGGAGCUUGUCUCCAGAAAGGCAGCCCCUGUCCCCUACUCAUACCCACCACAGAGCACUAGCCAGUGCCAACGCCAGGCUGCUAUUUAUCUCCCUAUCCCACUCCCUACCCCACCUAACACAUUUGCACUGCCGGGAAUGGACACUGGAAGCGCCAGGAGGAAGGGAGGCUGGUCUGGUGGGGUAGUGGGGAGGUCAGGGAGGCGGGGCCGAGGGUGUCCCACAUUCCCAACACCGCCCUCUGGUCACCAUGGGAAUCUUUGGACUCAGGACAGGGCCAGGCCCAGGGCUCUCCCUCCUCUCCCCUUUGCUGUCCCCUCCCCCUGGAGGGCGUGGGGUGGGGAGUGGCACUGAGCUAUGAGUCCCAGGGGAUGGUCAGGAACACCAAAGACAGAGCCACCCUAGGAGUGAGUGUAGUGCUGGUGACUGUGUUCCAUAGCCCCAAUCCAGGGCUGUCUAAGAAAUAAAGAUCAUCAGACUCC
rnacentral:sRNA from 1 species